CCUCGCAAUCUUUAACUCUGGUGAAUACCACGACUACCUGAUUGCCUCGCACAAACAGCUUGUCUUGAGAACCAGUCUCAGGAUCAACUGCCACCUGCCACUGGACCUAUAAGAAUUGGGUUUCCACUGAAUCAGAGCAACUGCAUCAACAGCUGGGUGUGUGCCAACAAGGUGGAGAGUAGCUCUGUGGGGGACGUUGUGCAUGUGGGGUGGUUGGACUCUAGACCAAUGGUGACGAUCCACCAUUCCAAGACAGAGUGGUCGGACUCAUCUGAGGAUGCUUCUCGGCACUAGCUUCAUCUCUACCACCAGUCGUGGUUAAUUGUGUAAGGGUGGACUCUACCAGUCUUCCACAUCUAGGGGUGGGGCAGAGCUCUCGGCACAAGUACAGCUGCCCUCCAGCGGCACUGUUACCAUAGCGAGGUCGCAUGUCACUCAGACGAGUACGAUCCUAUGUAGUGUGGGGUACGAGAGUGGUCAGGUGAAAGUGUUCUCAGUGAGUGUGGGAUUGGCCUGGGGGGGGGGCAGUAAGUUCUCUCUCUAGCCACGGAGCUACAUCAGAUGAGCAGUCAGUCAGAGCAGAUCACGAGUAUGCUGAUGUUGCUCCUCUCUGACGGCUGUGAGGUUCACCUCUGUUACAACAGCAGUCGUCUGUACAAGUGGUCUGUGAAGGACAUCACUCGGUCAGGGUCUUAUCAGUCUCGUCGUCACGGAUCCUACAGCUUCGCCCACCCAUACACAGUCUCAUAGGCUCCGCCCUCUGUCUCGGGUCACAUGAUCCGACUGCCACUGAGAACAAAAUGAGCGAGUUGCUAGUGUUUGGAGAUGAUUACGUGAUGACACUCCAGUUGCUCGAAGGAAGUUGAACCAAUCAGAUUCCAGUCAUGGUUGCCUGGUGACGCUCUCCCUGAAUACCUGUUGCCCGGGGCAGCACUGUACUCCUCUAUCACACUGGCAGGCUCAUUCUCGGACUCAAACUUAACUUAGUAGUACAAGUUCACCAGUACAUGUAUGUAGGUUUUGUCAAAUCGAGCUUAUCUUUAGUACGUGGCAUACGGUUUUUUGUAAUUGAUGAUUUUGCACCUCUCAUCUCUCCCUCGUCAGACUCCUCUGUCCCAGUGGUCCCCCGCUGUUCUCAAUCAUCUCUUAUCUCUGUCCCUCGUCAGUGGCCACACCCCUUGAGACCUUGCCGUCACCUGUAGCAAACUGGAGCAGGAGCAAGGGGUCGGAUUUGUUGACCAAGUGUUCGACCAUUUCUCUGGUGACUUCAACAACAACUCAUCCCAGAGUCGUCUCUUACAGCAGUUCUACUCCACCUCCGCUCUCCUGCACAGGUUUCGUAAGUGGUCUGACUGCUGAGCUGCCCAAGUCCUUUAUAAGGGAAAAACUCUAUCGUAUAUCAGACCCAGCAUCCAAUCACAUUACAGCUCCCUGGAUCCCUACUCCCCCCUGACACUGGUGGUGCCCAAGGGCCUCUCUCCACUGUGGAGGGAUUGCUUCCCGGAGGGCCAAAAGGACAUUGUUCACAUGGAGGGGGCUGAUCAAAGCCGUAGUGCAGAACACCAUGCAAACUCAAGCAAUGUGUAGCAUGCAGGUGUCGGAGUUGAACAGUGUCGCCUGAGGGCUUACAAAGUGACCAGACCUCUCUCUCUCUCUCAUCGGGUGGUCUGACCUCCAACCCUGUCCAGUAUACUGGAGAAGCGGAUGGAGCAACAGUUGUCUCUGUGGGGUACCAUGGACACUGCAUAAUGGCUCACGAACAUUAACUACAUGUUAUAGCUGGAUUACACAAGGCCCUUUUGCUUUAUUAUUCAUGAUUUUUUUGGCACAUGAUAAGAAUUUCA